rnacentral:rRNA from 1 species
UUGCGGUUAAAAAGCUCGUAGUUGGAUCUCGGCAAGUAGAGGGCGGUAUGCUUCGUAGCAUUACUGCCCUAUUACUUGUAGUUUUGCCAGAGGUUCCUGGGUGCUCUUAAUCGAGUGUCUAGGGAUGCUGGCAGGUUUACUUUGAAAAAAUUAGAGUGCUCAAAGCAGGCUAUUACGCUUGAAUAUUCGAGCAUGGAAUAAUAGAAUAGGAAGUUGUUUCUAUUUUGUUGGUUUUCGGAAAUCGACUUAAUGAUUAAUAGGGACAGUCGGGGGCAUUUGUAUUCAAACGACAGAGGUGAAAUUCUUGGACCGUUUGAAGACAAACUACUGCGAAAGCAUUUGCCAAGAAUGUUUUCAUUAAUCAAGAACGAAAGUUAGAGGUUCGAAGGCGAUUAGAUACCGCCCUAGUUCUAACCAUAAACGAUGCCAGCUAGCGAUCUGAGGACGUUUUUUUUGUAGACUCCUCAGGAAGCUUCCGGGAAACCAAAGCGUGUGGGUUCCGGGGGAAGUAUGGUUGCAAAGCUGAAACUUAAAGGAAUUGACGGAAGGGCACCACCAGGAGUGGAGCCUGCGGCUUAAUUUGACUCAACACGGGAAAUCUCACCAGGCCCGGACACUGGAAGGAUUGACAGAUUGAGAGCUCUUUCUC